UCCCUGGUGGUCUAAUGGUUAAGACUCUGCACUUCUAAUGCAGGGGAUGUGGGUCUGAUCCCUGGGAA
rnacentral:tRNA from 1 species